rnacentral:rRNA from 2 species
CAGUCGAACGAACUCUGGUAUUGAUUGGUGCUUGCAUCAUGACUUUACAUUUGAGUGAGUGGCGAACUGGUGAGUAACACGUGGGAAACCUGCCCAGAAGCGGGGGAUAACACCUGGAAACAGAUGCUAAUACCGCAUAACAACUUGGACCGCAUGGUCCGAGUUUGAAAGAUGGCUUCGGCUAUCACUUUUGGAUGGUCCCGCGGCGUAUUAGCUAGAUGGUGGGGUAACGGCUCACCAUGGCAAUGAUACGUAGCCGACCUGAGAGGGUAAUCGGCCACAUUGGGACUGAGACACGGCCCAAACUCCUACGGGAGGCAGCAGUAGGGAAUCUUCCACAAUGGACGAAAGUCUGAUGGAGCAACGCCGCGUGAGUGAAGAAGGGUUUCGGCUCGUAAAACUCUGUUGUUAAAGAAGAACAUAUCUGAGAGUAACUGUUCAGGUAUUGACGGUAUUUAACCAGAAAGCCACGGCUAACUACGUGCCAGCAGCCGCGGUAAUACGUAGGUGGCAAGCGUUGUCCGGAUUUAUUGGGCGUAAAGCGAGCGCAGGCGGUUUUUUAAGUCUGAUGUGAAAGCCUUCGGCUCAACCGAAGAAGUGCAUCGGAAACUGGGAAACUUGAGUGCAGAAGAGGACAGUGGAACUCCAUGUGUAGCGGUGAAAUGCGUAGAUAUAUGGAAGAACACCAGUGGCGAAGGCGGCUGUCUGGUCUGUAACUGACGCUGAGGCUCGAAAGUAUGGGUAGCAAACAGGAUUAGAUACCCUGGUAGUCCAUACCGUAAACGAUGAAUGCUAAGUGUUGGAGGGUUUCCGCCCUUCAGUGCUGCAGCUAACGCAUUAAGCAUUCCGCCUGGGGAGUACGGCCGCAAGGCUGAAACUCAAAGGAAUUGACGGGGGCCCGCACAAGCGGUGGAGCAUGUGGUUUAAUUCGAAGCUACGCGAAGAACCUUACCAGGUCUUGACAUACUAUGCAAAUCUAAGAGAUUAGACGUUCCCUUCGGGGACAUGGAUACAGGUGGUGCAUGGUUGUCGUCAGCUCGUGUCGUGAGAUGUUGGGUUAAGUCCCGCAACGAGCGCAACCCUUAUUAUCAGUUGCCAGCAUUAAGUUGGGCACUCUGGUGAGACUGCCGGUGACAAACCGGAGGAAGGUGGGGAUGACGUCAAAUCAUCAUGCCCCUUAUGACCUGGGCUACACACGUGCUACAAUGGAUGGUACAACGAGUUGCGAACUCGCGAGAGUAAGCUAAUCUCUUAAAGCCAUUCUCAGUUCGGAUUGUAGGCUGCAACUCGCCUACAUGAAGUCGGAAUCGCUAGUAAUCGCGGAUCAGCA